AGAGUUUGAUCAUGGCUCAGAAUCAACGCUGGCGGCGCGCUUAACACAUGCAAGUCGCACGAGAAAGUGGAGCAAUCCAUGAGUAAAGUGGCGCACGGGUGAGUAACACGUGGAUCAUCUACCUUUUAGUGGGGAAUACCUCUGGGAAACCGGAGAUAAUACCGCAUAAGCUCGUAAGAGGAAAGCGUCGUCCUUAAAAAACGACGCGCUGAAAGAGGAGUCCGCGGCUGAUUAGCUAGUUGGCGGGGUAACGGCCCACCAAGGCGAAGAUCGGUAGCCGGCCUGAGAGGGCACACGGCCACACUGGCACUGAAACACGGGCCAGACUCCUACGGGAGGCAGCAGUGGGGAAUCUUGCACAAUGGAGGAAACUCUGAUGCAGCGACGCCGCGUGAGCGAUGAAGCCCUUCGGGGUGUAAAGCUCUUUCGACGGGAACGAUAAUGACGGUACCCGGAGAAGAAGCUGCGGCUAACUACGUGCCAGCAGCCGCGGUAAUACGUAGGCAGCGAGCGUUGUUCGGAAUUACUGGGCGUAAAGAGUGUGUAGGCGGUGCUCCAAGUCUGUUGUGAAAUCUCCCGGCUUAACUGGGAGGGUGCAGCGGAAACUGGAAUGCUUGAGGGUGGGAGAGGUAAGCGGAAUUCCUGGUGUAGCGGUGAAAUGCGUAGACAUCAGGAGGAACACCUGUGGUGUAGACAGCUUACUGGACCACUUCUGACGCUGAGACACGAAAGCGUGGGUAGCAAACAGGAUUAGAUACCCCAGUAGUCC
rnacentral:rRNA from 1 species